UAAAUAUCCUUAUCAUACAAUAAAUACGCCCACCAUCUUCAAGAAAUGAAUCUAUUUAAUUUUUCGUACCGGAUUUACCAUUUCGAUAAUACACUAGAUAUGAUGUUGUUUCCACCGAUUGGGAUCUAUCGAUCAAGUUUUCUCUUCUCCUUCUCUCUCCAUUUUUCUUUCAUCCAUCACCAGAUUCACCACCACAACCACCACCACCAUCACUUCCACCACCACUUCCGUUGCGUCCAAUAGAUCCAGAAUCAAUCGAAACUAUCAUCACCAUCAUAUGGUUCGCGUUCAGAGAGGGGUUGUUCUUCUUAUAAAGAUUAAUUUCCGAAUCAGAUUGAAAGAGAUCGAGAUCUGGUUUUAGGUUUAGAUUUUGAGGAAAUUUAGAGUUGAACUUGUUUAAAUUAUUGAAGCUCAAGAAGUAAUUUUGAUGAUGGUGGUGGUGCUGCGGUGGUGAAGGAGGAGGUAUGAUGUUUUUUAUUUCGUUCUACCGAUAGAAUUUUAGUUAUAUCUAUUUUUAAACUGGUGAUGAAGAUAAAUUGAGAUUGUCUUGAUUAUCGUUUUCUCUUGCUUAAGUUUCUGGUGGUGGUGGUGUUUAACAUGAUUGUUGUUAUAAGUGGAGGUAAGGUUAGAAUGAUGAAGUUAAUUGUCGGUAGAGUAAUGAUGGUUCUGGUUGUGGUUGCGGUGAUAGUGAUGGUGGAGAUUGGGUGUGGCUGUGGUUGUUGGGAGAUGGUGGUAGUGGUGAUACUUCUGGCAAUUAUCAAUGCCUUCGCCAAAACCACUUCAGAAAGCAUCACUACAAGAGUGGGGUACAAAUUUUGCGACUACAGAUCAAGUUAUGGAACAACAGUGUAAAGGGUUCAUGUCUUGUCUCAUAUUGCAUCACCUAAGCAACGCCUCUGAUGAGCUGCUUCCCACCUUCUUACACACUUGGGUUUACAUUUGCAGCGGCAGUGACCAAUAAGAGUGGAAUCUUCCUGUGCACUGCGAUCCCAGGAGCUUCUUGCAUAUCAAUUUCUUCCUUUUUUUUUGACUCCAAAGGCAAUUCCCACUUAAAAAAGUUGAGAAGAUUUGUAAGAACAAGUUCAAUUAUGACCAAAGCAGAGUCAAUAAUAGGGCAACCCCUCCGUCCAAUACCAAAUGAUACCGUCUCAAAGUCUUGCCCUUUAAAUUCUAUAAUCUUAGUUAUGAAUCUUUCUGGUUGGAAUUCUUUUGGGUCUUUCCAAAACUUAGGGUCUAAUGCAGUAGCUUUUGCAUUAAAGAAUACCUUUGUUUUGGGUGUGAUGAUUAAGUUGGAUUUUACAACUUUAAAGUUUUUUAAAUGUUGAAUUUAUGGUGCAAUGGUAGCAUGACUGAUUUCACG